rnacentral:rRNA from 1 species
GAUCAUUAUCGUAGGGCUUCGGCCCUGUCGAGAUAGAACCCUUGCCUUUUUGAGUACCUUUCGUUUCCUCGGCAGGCUCGCCUGCCAAUGGGGACCACAAAAAACACUUUGCAGUACCUGUAACAGUCUGAACAAACAAAACAAAAAUUAAAACUUUCAACAACGGAUCUCUUGGUUCUGGCAUCGAUGAAGAACGCAGCGAAAUGCGAUAAGUAGUGUGAAUUGCAGAAUUCAGUGAAUCAUCGAAUCUUUGAACGCACAUUGCGCCCUUUGGUAUUCCUUAGGGCAUGCCUGUUCGAGCGUCAUUUAAACCUUCAAGCUAAGCUUGGUGUUGGGUGACUGUCCGCUUCACUGCGGACUCGCCUCAAAAUUAUUGGCGGCCGGUACAUUGGCUUCGAGCGCAGCAGAAACGCGAACUCGGGCCCGUCGUAUUGGCUCCCAGAAGCUAUCUUCACAAUUUUGACCUCGGAUCAGGUAGGGAUACCCGCUGAACUUAAGCAUAUCAAUAAGCGGAGGA